CUAGUGGCGCACGGGUGCGUAACGCGUGGGAAUCUGCCCUUAGGUACGGAAUAACAGUGAGAAAUUACUGCUAAUACCGUAUGAUGUCUUCGGACCAAAGAUUUAUCGCCUAGGGAUGAGCCCGCGUAGGAUUAGCUAGUUGGUGGGGUAAAGGCCUACCAAGGCUACGAUCCUUAGCUGGUCUGAGAGGAUGAUCAGCCACACUGGGACUGAGACACGGCCCAGACUCCUACGGGAGGCAGCAGUGGGGAAUAUUGGACAAUGGGCGAAAGCCUGAUCCAGCAAUGCCGCGUGAGUGAAGAAGGCCUUCGGGUUGUAAAGCUCUUUUACCCGGGAAGAUAAUGACUGUACCGGGAGAAUAAGCCCCGGCUAACUCCGUGCCAGCAGCCGCGGUAAUACGGAGGGGGCUAGCGUUGUUCGGAAUUACUGGGCGUAAAGCGUACGUAGGCGG
rnacentral:rRNA from 1 species